rnacentral:lncRNA from 1 species
CCAUCUUCAAUCUUUGAAAAAAAUUUAGAGAUUUGAAGAAAGGAUCCAGAAUGGUCAAGAAAAAGAUCUUCGUGCAAGCUAGCACUCCCGAGAAGAUCGAUCAGAUACGGGCUUCGAGUGGAUUUCUCAUAGAGGUCGGAUGCGUGUGCAGUUAUGAGCAACCAACAAAGAUCUUCUCUACCAUGUCUCUCAGCAAUAGAGAUCAUCGACC